rnacentral:lncRNA from 1 species
UAGAAUUGAUUGCCUUUGCGGGUAUACCGGCUCACUCAUCGUAAAUAUUGUGAAGCAAAAAGAAUAUAUUUUCCUUCUGUAUUUAUUUUCUAUACUAGACUCCUGUACACUGUCUAAUUCCAGCAGAGGGAGAAAGCAGGGAUUUGGUGAAGUUUGAGUCAGAAAACUAUUCCUAGGUGGUCCAGAUGGGAAUGACCCAGCUUAGCAGAGCGCAAAGCUUAUUUUUUUUUUGCAUUAUAGAUAUCUUAGGAAGGCUUAUCAGUAAAGCGCUUUGAAGCGCUGCGCUCAGCGAAGAAAAUUUGUUUCCUUGCUGGGCUGGCUCUUUUCCUUCCACAAAGCAAAGAGCAAAUCAAGCUGGAAAAAAAAGCUGCCGAGUUUUAAUAAUUAGCACGAAAUGAUCCAUAUUUUUUUUCUAGCUGGGCCAUUGAUGGAUUAUUAUUUUAUGAUAAAACGUUAUAAAAUCCCUAUGUAUUUCGAAAUACUACGACCUUAUUUGAUCAUGUUAUGCUCUUUUCGCUAUGCACAAAUUCUCAUUGGAUUUUGUUGGUUCGUAGCAGCAAUGGCUAUUUAUUUAAGUAUUUGGGUAGCACCAUCCGAUUUUCAACAAGGUGAAAAUUAUCGCAUUAUCUAUGUGCAUGUUCCUGCCGCUUGGAUGAGUUUACUUAUUUAUAUCGCAAUGGCUCUCAGCAGUGUGUUAUUCUUAUUAACAAAACAUCCGCUUUUUCAGUUAUUUUCCAAAAGCGGCGCCAAAAUAGGUGCUUUGUUUACAUUGUUUACCCUAUUAACCGGGGGUUUUUGGGGGAAACCUAUGUGGGGUACCUUUUGGGUGUGGGACGCUCGUUUAACCUCUGUAUUAAUCUUGUUCUUUAUUUAUUUAGGUGCACUGCGUUUUCAACAGUUUUCUGCGGACGUCGCUUCUAUUUUUAUUUGUAUAGGGUUAAUCAAUAUACCAAUAAUUAAAUUUUCUGUAAACUGGUGGAAUACAUUGCAUCAACCUUCCAGCAUUAGCCAAUUUGGUACUUCAAUACAUAUUUCUAUGCUCAUUCCAAUCCUGUUAAUCCUUAUUAGCUUUUUUUGUUUAAGCGGGAUUUUUUUUAUUUUGGAAACACGUCAAAUUAUUUUAUCUUUUUCUAGUUUUUCCGUAAAAAGUCAAAUAAAUCCGCAAAACAACAAUAGAAAACAGGUUUUUUUUAGACAAACAAUAGAUCAAGCAAAAGCACCUAAGGAAAGGUGGACUUUUAUUUUAUUGGGUUUAAUCAAGUUGUUCAAGGCUUUAUAAGAAGCAAAGCAAGGCUCUGCGUUAGAAAAUGCAAAAAAAUCUAUUUUUUUGCCAAUUAUAAGCAAAAUUUAGCGAAAUGUAUAAUGAAUUGGGCCAUUAUUUUUUAGUACUGAGUAUUUUCGUUGCAUUAACUUACAACAAAAGACCUGCGGCUAUUUCACUUUAUUUUUUUUGUUUUACUAUUUCUUUCUUUGGUAUUUUGUUUUGCUACAUUUCUUCUGAUUUUUCUAAUUACAAUGUAUUUACCAACUCAAAUGCUAAUGCGCCUUUAUUUUAUAAAAUAUCAGGAACAUGGUCUAAUCAUGAGGGUAGUUUGUUAUUAUGGUGUUGGAUCCUAAGUUUCUAUGGAUUUUUUUUGGGUCAUCGGGUUCGACCCUGCAAUGUUUCAAAACGAGGGCGCAGCAAAAAUAUAUUUUUUUUUCGCAGACCGCUUGUGGCUUUUCGCUUUGCUUGCUUCAUAAAGAAAGAGAAUAAACAAUUCAGACAUCAUUUAUUGCAGAACCUGUUUGGUACCAUAAAUCGUAAAAGCUCCCUCAAGAGCCAAUCCAAAGCGGCGCCCUCAGGUAUCGUUCAAGAGCCCUCAGAUAAAAGGUUAGAAAAUGGUGUAAAUGCGAGAGACAAUAAAAGGCCCAUAAGGCUUAAAAAAUGGAAAGAGCUUUACGCUUUAUGUAACAAUUUAGAUUCUUUAUUUUUGGCACAGAAUGCAAAUGAUAAAGUUUCCUUUAUUGAUGAACGGCGAAUUUAUAUGGGCAUUGCUUUAUUUUUUUCGAUUUUUUUAUUAGCAAGUUCCAAUCCUUUUGUUCGAAUUUCAUUUGUUUGUACUAAAUCACUUGCAGAAUUAAAUCCUGUUUUACAAGAUCCUAUAUUAGCUAUACAUCCUCCCUGCAUUUAUGCAGGAUAUGUCGCCAGUGCUAUUGGUUUUUGCUUAUGUCUAGCCAAAAUAAUGAAUGGUAUCUCUGUACUCUAUUUGCCAAUACGAAGGGAAAGCAAGGCCGAAAUGUUUAAUGCUUUCUCUCGCAUAACAAAUAAGCUGAUUACCCAGGAGAAUGCAAAAAAAACUAUAAAAAAUAUAUUUGAAAAUACCAGUUCUCUCCAUCCCAGUUUUGCUUUCAUCUUGCGUAGCAAUAGGAGCCUGCUCGGGCUUCGGCACUUGGUGUCGCUUUCUUCGCUUUGGUCGAAAGAGCGGCUGAAUCUCACGAAGAGCCAGUGGACGAAGCGUGUUGUUCGUAAAGCGAAUACUGCGGUUUUACAUUUUGGUUGGACCCGCAGCGCGAAUAAAGUGGUCUCUGGCCCACAAUACCAUGGGUGGAAACAAAUUCAAAUUUGGAUUCUGACAUGCUGGUGUUUUUUAACUGUAGGCAUAUUGCUAGGAAGUUGGUGGGCUUAUCAUGAAUUAGGUUGGGGUGGUUGGUGGUUUUGGGAUCCUGUAGAAAAUGCUUCUUUUAUGCCUUGGCUAUUAGCUACAGCUUGUAUUCAUUCAGUAAUUUUACCUAAAUUGAAUUAUUGGACUUUGUUUCUUAAUAUGCUUACUUUUCUAUGUUGUGUUUUAGGAACUUUUUUCGUACGUUCUGGAUUGCUAGCUUCCGUUCAUAGUUUUGCUACAGAUUCUACACGAGGAAUCUUUUUAUGGUUUUUUUUCGUCUUAAUUACUAGCAUAUCUUUGAUGUUUUUUUUUCAAAUGAAGCAGCAAUCAAGUACCAGGCUAGUUGGUGCAUUAUCUGAUUUACCAUCGAACCAAGGCCUGAGGGCCCAAAAACCCGUAAACCAGAUCUUAUGGUAUUCGCGGCGAAGCACUCUAUUCGUGCACUUGCGUAAAUUUACUCGUCUAUCAAAGCUAAUAGAGGACGAAGAAGGCCAUGACAAACUAAUUGUAUACAAAGCAAGUAAAAUACAUAAAUAAAAAAAGCUCUUUUUCUCGGGUCAAAGAGAUAAAAAGCUAGCUUAAUUUCGAAUCCACACAGUGAAAGUGAAACCUUUGGCUUUUUUUCAUUUGCUAUGCGAAGGCUCCGUGCCUUCCAGCAGCUAUGGCUACGGAGGUAGCGUACCGGGGGGGUGCAAAGCCUUCGCCGAAGGCCGAAGAAGAUAAAAUAAAGCCAAAAAAUGAAUUAUUUUUUUGUUUCAAUUUUGAGUUUUUUUAUCUUGUAUUCUCUUAUUCGGAAAAGCAAAAUCCUAAAAACAAAUAGAGCAGAUGGUCCAACUACAGAACUUUUUUUUUUUUCUUAUCUUUAUGGUUGUGCUUUGUGGUACGGCAGCACCCAUACUAUUUCAAUGGUUGGUAAGUAGAGAUGUUCCCACAGGUGCUCCUUUUUCUCAUGGUACUAUAAUACCUAUUUUUACCUCUUUAUCAUUGCUUUUAGUUUAUGUACAUUCCAGGGGAUUCAUACGCUCUAUGGACAAAACAGAAAGGAUAGUUUUGGUAAGAGCAAGACCCAUUUUAUUACCCAACAUAAUUGAAAAAAGCUCCCCAAAAACUAGAGCUAAAAAUGCAUUUUUUUUCUUUUUUAUUUUCAUUUUCAAUUUUUUUAUUUUCAAAUUUAUGGGAGACUUGUCAUAUUUAGAAUCUUUCUGUGGUGUGCUUUGUUUUUUAUUAUUUUGUACGUUUUUCUUAUCAUCUAAAUAUAGGCGCGAUACGUGGGCAAACAAGGAGCCUAGGCUUGGAAUAGAAAAAAAAAGAAAAGCGCGUAAGCGGGCACAGAGAAGAAAGCGCCAAGCGCUUUGUUGGCCUAACGAAAAAAAGAAACAAAGAAAUAAAAAGAAAGAAAAUGCAUUUUUAUUUCUUUCAAAUAAAUCAAAAAUAUUUUUGAUUUAUUUGCUGCAAUUUUCAAAAACCUUCGGCUUCAACGAAAAAGCCAAAAUUUUGGCUUUUUAUUCUCUGCUUGCUUUUUCGCAAGCUUAUUCUUCCGUCCCUGAAAAUAGUUGGAAUAGAUUUUUUCUUGUUCGCGCCUUACCAAAAAGACUGAUGGAUGUUGGUCAUGACUUUCGAAAAGUUCCCAUGACUAUGAAAAUUUCACAUGGAGGAGUUUGCAUCUUUAUUAUGGGUGUUAUUUUGUCGUGCGACCCGGCAGCUUAUGCGCGACCAUCUCGUGUUUAAGCUCACGCCCACAUGGCGUGAACUCUGGUUGAAUUCGGGUUCUAAAUCCCGCCGCUGAGAUGCUCAGUCGACUCUUGAACCUUGAUGGGAAGACGGCUUCUUCCCAAAUUAGUGCAAAAGGUUCCAGGACUUAGGAUGAACUUAAUGUGAAUGAGUAUAAGCUUCGCUGCUCAAAAACACCCAGUAUUGACCACACUGAGAGACUUGCCAAUGGCAAGAAAGGCCGCGGGUAACGCUAGUUGGCGAAAUGGCGUUAAGCAUUCCUAGCGAUACGGAAAGAGAGGUCGUGAUGGAUGAUAUCAUCUACGUUCGUACUGUUCCUCGUGGAGUAAAUCUCACAUCCAAAAAUCUAACCAGGGAACGGGAUAAUUCCCAUUAAGUUCCAGUAAAACUGGCAGGCCAGCCGGGCCGUAAGCUAGUGGGAACAGGAUUCUCCCGAAAAGACAAAACCUUCGAGGCAAACGCUCACUUUGCUCGCGUUAGUGAAGUAAAUCUCGAAGAAAAGGCCGACGCGGGGACUCAGGGCGCAGCAUAACGAAUGGUGAAGAGUUCGUAUGAGCAGAAUGAACAGAAAAAAAAGAUUUUUAGGCGAAUGCCAUGUAAAUCUCCGCUUUAUUAUUUAUUAUUCGGUUUUCAGGUUCCCCCUGAGAAGAGCCGUAUGAGGCCGUAGGCUCACGUACGGUUCGGAAGCCAAGCCCCUGCAGUGAUGCUGUGGCUUAGGUUAACCAACACAAAAAAGAGACAGUUUACUCAAUUAUUGCCUUUAGGUUCUGAACUACAUAUAGGAAGAGAGCAUUGUUGUUUGCGAGGUAUUGAUCAAUUACAUGGACCCACCUUUCAUUCCAUUUGUGGUAAUUUGAUUAUUUAUAAACCGUCCUUAAAAAAUCCAUUCAUUUUGGAUCAUGAUGAAUCACUUCGUGCCAUAAUCGACUUGUUGCCAAUUGCAGCGCCUUCGUACCAGACUGAAAAAGUUGAAAAAAAAUAUAUAUAUUUUUUUUCAACUUUUUUCCAUGGUGACAGAUCAUGGAGAAAUCGCGAACAUCAUAGUUUCCCACUUUGGUUGACUGUGUUCCCAGAAAAAAGAUUUUCUUUUUCUAAUCAAGAAACAAGCACUACCAAAGUGGCUAUACAUAGUAAUCUUUUUACGGAUCUAUAUGCUUUAAUUGGAACUGGAAGUUUUGAAACAGGCUGGUAUAUUACCAUAAUGAAACUACCUUUCAUUUUCUGUAUUUGGAUAGGGUUUAUUCUGGCUUCAUUGGGAGGCUUGCGUAGUUUUCUACGUCAGCUGGCUUUAUAUAGAUUGGAUUGGAAUUGAAAAAAAAAUAUAUAUAUAUUGAGAUUGAAAAUUACAUAAAUCUGGAGUAAAAGGAUUCGAACCUUUGCCUGUCGGUAUCAAAAACCGAAGCCUUUCCACUUGGCUAUACUCCAAGAACUCUACCUACGGCCUUUUUUUAAAGCUUGUAACUAAAGUGCUACGCACCCACCUAAAACAAAAACGAAAUCACUUUCCAUUCUGCCAAUGGCUCAUAACAGAACGACGUAGGGGCGGUUAAUUUGCUUAUGUUCUCCUACAAUAUACAAUAUUUUUUAAUAAUCGAAUUAUUCAUCUAUAUCGUGAAUGAAGGACCUAUAACUUUUUUAAGCCUGAGCUGUUCUCUUAUGCAUACGUAGUAAAUAGAGCACUAGUUUAUAAUCUGAUUUAUGAAUUGAGCACACUUCUUAUGAAUAAACGUAUAUUAUUUUUUUGCCAAUCAAGCAGCAUGGCUUCUCUUACAAUUCUUAAAAACAGUUCACGACUCGUGUUCGAUCCGCGAAGCGAGAGUACAAAUACUAUGCGAGGUGAAAGACCCAUUGAUUCACAAAUUUAUGAUAUAAUACUAAAUUUCCUAAUAGUAGAGUAGUUAUACCUUUUUUUUUGUCAAAUGUUGUUUGUUUGUUCUAAAGAUGUCUAUGAAUUUGGGUGAAGGCCGCAGCCGUAAAUCUUUAAUAAAAAAAUUCAAAACAUCCAUCAUAGGGAUCUAUAUUUAUAGAUCCAGCAAUCUGGUUACGCUUAAUCUUGAUAUGGGUCUUAAACCUAACCACUCGAAAUUACUAAGCCUGCUUUUUUUUAGGCGUUAAAUACACAAAAAUAACCGCGGUGAUUAGAGGAUAGUGCGAUCACUGCGGUCCCUCCCGCACAAGUAGGUUAGGAUUAGAAAAAGAUUAUUAUUAAUAUCAAAUAUAUCUGAUAUAUUUGAUAUUAAUAAUAAUGCUAAACAAAUAUUUGUUUCUGGAGCCUCGUAACUUCCGCGGGUAAUAAUCAUAAUUUAGGGAAAGAUCAGUUUCUGAAAAUUCUCGUCAUAGCCUUAUGGUUUGCGAUAAAGGCAGAGUUUAGGGUUAGCUUUAAGCUUAUAUUACCUAGAAAAAAGCGUGGACUCAUUAUGUUAUUUUAUCGUCAUCACUUCAUAAUAUCGUCAUACUUGGCGCUUACUGUGGAUCGGGCAUCUUUAUUCUUCAUUUCUAUUUGGUUGACCUGCGCGUAAAUUCGUUUGUGACUCAACUUCCAUUAGUUGAAUAUGCCGGGUGCAGCUCAACAAUCUACCAUAGCUGGUGGCAUACUAUCUCGAAAAGCAGUAUUAACUGAGAAACAGUAAUUAGAUAGUAGGCUAGCCGAACGACUAGAGGCCUAGUGAUCGCAGAACUUGAAGUUCCGACUUGUACGGAUAGAGGGACUCGAACCCCCACAAACAUUAUAGUCACCAGAACCUAAACCUGGCAUGUCUACCAAUUCCAUCAUAUCCGCCAAAAUUUGAUUCAAUCUGUGGAAAUUUUUUUCUUUUUUCUCCAGUUAUUAGACCCUUUUCAUGGCCUCAAUACCAUUUCGGCUGCUAGCUCCAGGGCCAUGCCGGAUUUUUUAUCGCCGAUCAAUAAUCACAGUCACAUGAAUGGGUCAAAGGCCCUCUCGUCGAAUUAGAAUUGAACUUACACCAUCAUACAUAUUUGGCCUAGCCCUGUAGGUUAGGUUGUGUUUUAUGGUUUCUGAAUCGUGCCUGUAGAUAAAUAUUUUUCAUAGUUCAUCACUGUAAAAAUAAACUAAACUAGAUUUGCUUACAAUUUUAUUAUGUUAUUUCUUAUUGUUGUCUUUGUUAUAUUGUGGUUGGGUGCGCGAUGUACAAAAACACGCAAAUUUUUGAUUUACCCAAUACUAUACAGAUUAUGACAUCUAUAUAUUUCGGUCCAGCGCACCGUGGCGCCUUUUGCGACAUGGCUCAGUGUUUGUUGCGCCUCGAGCUAAGUCACGGCACGAUAUGCGCUGUCCCGCACGCAGAGUCAAAAUCUCCUCAAGCUAUUCAGGGUACUGCCUUAUUUUGGCUACCAAACACAGAGCCACCGGCUGAAGAUCAUUACUUCUUCUUGAAUGAAUCAUCAUAAAUAAUGAUUAUAUAUUUUUUUUCAUAAAGAGAAUAUCUUGUUUUUUGCCUGAUUCUGCAAAAUGAUUACACAAUGUUAAGAUCUGCAAAGGUUACAUGCUAUUUUGUUUUAAAAAUAGUUAACUAAUUACCCUACUUACGGAUGGAGAGGGAUUCGAACCCCCGGUAUUCUCAAUACUUCGGUUUUCAAGACCGACUCUUUCAACCGCUCAGACAUCCAUCCUUAUCUUAAUAAGAUUAUUGGCUCAAAGGAACCAAUAAUCAACCUAAUAUUAAUUUGCUAUGUAAAUGAAAAUUUAGAGAAAAAAGCGAGAAGAGAUGAAAGAAAAUUUUAGGCGGAUAUAGAUUAAAGGUAAAUUAUCUGCCUUCCAAGCAGGAGAUAUGGGUUCGAUUCCCGUUAUCCGCAAUGGCUAAAAAAACUAAUUAAACUUCAUAUGCCUGCAUCAAGAUUUAAAACUUGUCGUCAAAUUUCAGAAAAUGUUUGGCAGACCAAAAAACUUACUCAAAAACAAAAAGCCAUUAUUUUGAAGCUUCGAAAAAAAACAAAUAAAAAACAAUCUGACUUUUCCAAAGAAUUACAAACUAUACAAAAGUUGUCCCUUUUUUAUGGAAAAUUACCCAUUAAAAAGAUGCAAAGGUCUAAAACGCAGACUUAUCUAGAUAAAAAAAAUAGUUUGUUAUUCGAUAUAGAACGAAGAUUAGACGUUAUUCUGGUUCGUCUUAAUUUCUGUUUAACUAUUUUUCAAGCAAGGCAGCUAAUAAGUCAUAAAAAAAUUUGUGUCAAUUAUAAAAUGGUCAAUAUUCCUGGUUUUCAAUUAUCUAACGGUGAUCUUAUAUCUAUUCAAGAUAAUUUUAUAUAUUUCAUUAGAUCCAAAAUAAGACAAAAUUUUCAGAGUAACCGAAUAUGGAGAAUAAAACCUACUCAUUUAGAGGUUAAUUAUAAAACACUAAAAGCCGUGGUAUUAUAUGAACCUCAACAAAUACAAUUCCCUUAUAGCAUAGAUCUAGACCUUCUUGAUUAAAGCAGGAACGUAUGUAAAUUAUUUAUUGGCAGAGCGAUAACAGAGUUAAUCUCUCGUAGAUGGUGAAAAAAAUAUAUAUUCCAGGAAUUUUUUGAUUUUUUUGAACCACUUUUGUCUUUUUGCCAUAGACAUAAAGACAAUACUACGGUUGCGCAAAAAAAGAAAGUAAAGCUCGUAUGCCCGGGCAGACGGAGCCUUCGUUUUAUGCUCUACGCGCUUUUUUUUUAUCGGCCUCGUAUUAUCUUUCUGUGUCUUCGAGGCUAAAGACGGGAAAAUAAGCGGGGAAUUAAGUCCGCUUUGUAGUGUGGAGUGAAAAAUACUUUUGUUUACUGCGCCCUGGCUAGCUUUGUAACAGCUAUAAGCGAGCCUGGUCUCAUAUCAUAUUGAAUUGGCGAAGACUAUGGCAUAGUGGGCGUCGCAGCUCCAUUUUGGCGAAGCGCUUAUUUGUGGCUUGAUGGCGUCGUCAUGGUCGCUUUGCUCUGCUUGGCCGGAUCCAAAUCAACUAUAAAGCAUCUAGGGUGGGGGAGGGCAGCGCGAACAAAAGCUAUUGGGCUUCUGCGCGUCCUCUCCCAGCAUCAGCAAAAAAGAAAAAAAAAGGUAGCCGGGAGGGAAUAGAUAGAUGGUUAAAGCUUGAUGCAUAGCAGCAAGCAAAAUUAGGCCAAAGAUCAAAAAAAAUAUAGAUAUAUUUUUGUUUUUUGUUGCGCCCCGCGGCCUGGUUCCUGGCCAUGGCCCAAUUUCGGUUAAAGGACUAGUUGCUUCUUAUAAACUUGUAUAAUCAAUGCGUAAAAAAUGGUCAACUCUAUUAUACAAUAAAUAAGUAAACAAGCGACAAUUUGACACCAGAUAUCUGGAGGUGUUAAAAAAGCUGCUGUAAAAAUUGAAAGAACCAUAAAAAAACGACGAUUUUUUAUGCAGCUUUUCACAAAAAUCCCUUUUGAUUCUAGCAAAAAGAUCACAAGUACCUGUACUUGAGAGCAUAUUGAUGAAAUAAACAAAAUACGAACAGUUAAUAAAAUAUAGUCAAAAAUCUUAGGUUGUAACUUUAUUAUAAGUAGAUUAGUUGAUGUUUUAUUCAAUUCGUAUAAAAAGUGCCAAACAUUGGGAACUACCCCAACAAAAGUGACAAAAAAAAACAGGAAGAAGCAAAAACCACUUAAGUAAAAGAAUUUGUUGUAUUUUUUUCUUUGUUCUUCAUAGCAACUAGGAAUCAAAAAACACCAAAUUUGAUAACUUAAGAAAGGAAAUAAAAAGUAAAAGCAUGAUAUUAAAGAAAUAGUAACAUACGUGCUUAAGGCCUCCGUUAAUUGUGUACAAAUAAAACCUGAAUAAGAAAGAAUAAGAAAGGAUUUCGCUGACGAAAAAAACAAAUCUUCUGAAAACCAAUAACACGUAAACCAUGUUAAACUGAAGCAAAUAAAUAUCCAAAAAAAACGAAUUCUAACUUCUUUCAGAAUAGUUUUAAAUAAAAAAUUCAUGAUAUUUCAUUGUGUGUUAAACCUAAUAAGAACGAAAAAAACGUUGGGUUGGCUUUUACUGCGCCCGGCAAAGUGUGCAAUCAAUCGUAAGGCCCUACCAAUAUUUUAUUUUUAUUUCAUUAGUAGUUCAGGGUUCGCCCCUAGAAUUUUACUACAUUUGAGGGUACUCAUUCAUCAUAAUGCAAUUACUAUGUACUAAAACCCUAUUACAGCCGAGCUUUUUUAAUCGAGUAAAAGGCAUGGCAUAGCGCGCAUAUAGCCACGGGAAUCUAUGGCUAAAUCAUAUUUUUUUUUGCUUCAUGUAUGACUUUUAUUUCUGGCGCUAUUUCUACGCUGCGCGCCCUUUAUUUGUUAUACGAAGAUAGCUUUUUUCUUUCUUUAGCUUCUUUCUUUGUAGUUCACGAAUGAAGGUUAGUGCAUUCUUAGCUCAGUUGGAUAGAGCAACAACCUUCUAAGUUGAAGGUCACAGGUUCAAAUCCUGUAGGAUGCUUAAAGAAAGUGCAUAAUGAAUGAAUAAAUAAUAUAUACCAAGGGUACAUGCAUCUAUCGAUUAGUUUAAACCCAUUAAAGGUUACAUACCAUACAUACAUACACGCGCGGAUUGACCGAUUUCUAAAUAAAGAAUUUUUUAUUUAUUUUGGGGGAGAGUGGCCGAGUGGUUAAAAGCGACAGACUGUAAAUCUGUUGAAGGUUUUCUACGUAGGUUCGAAUCCUGCCUCUCCCAUAUACUCCGUAUUUGAAGAAUAGAGACGAAGCACUUGUUUUUGUGCUUAUCCCUUCAUGCAAUUAAAUAGAGUGGAACUUUCUCAGAAACAUAUUGAAUGUUUUGGUAUUCGAGCCCUCUCCGAACCGUACGAGAUAGUCGCCCAUCAUACGGCUCUCCAAUUCAACCUCUAUUCGGAUUUGCCUUUGUCGUUAGAUUUUGGCUUGUUUUUCUAGUGACCGACCUCGCCAGUGGCUUAAGUACCAUAAAGCGACUUGCUUUUUCACUAUAGUGAUCAUGGGGAAUUCCAGCAAGAAAUAAUAACAUAAAAAAAAAUGCAUUUUCAUUAUCUCCUCUGAGCUCGUCCUUAAUACUCCGAACAUGGUGCAUUCUAUUCAGAUUUACAAUAUCAUGAAGGAAGCACGAAGAGCAGUUACGCAGCCUUUUAAUCAUCAAGCAAGUUAUGCCAUAGGAUCCUUGAUAGCAGAAUUUACUCUGCAGUUUCGAACGUAUGAAACGAAUUUUAGAUAGUCAAGGUAGGGCUUUUGACAAGGACGCCACGCCAGCUGGCAUUGAAGACAGUAUGAUUUUUAGUAUAUCCCUGUCAAUGGUCUCCUUCUGUCUGAUAUUGGUGUCAUCGAUUCAGGUCCCGCUGCCCUCGUUGGACAUAAGGCAUUAUUCAUAAGUCCAGGUUGCCCACGAUGUUUUGCAGAUCUGAAUAGGUUUCCCUAGCUUUGCGACGGGUAUCUCAUGAAUUAAUUAUCUAAAUUAUGAUUGCUUUUUUCUUUCUUUGCGGUUGAAUAUAGUCUGCUAAGGUACAGCAGACGGUUAGGCCCUUUCCCUUUUGUUAGCAGUUUUACUUUGUACUACGUAUGGCUGAAGCGGGUACUAUGGGCCCUCUGCCAUCCACUUUGGUCCAGCUGACUGAAGUGGAUUUCACCGGUGUUGCCUACAGUUCUUGGCUAAGUUUAAUUCAAGGCCAUUUUGUGUCGAGAUGUCGUUUAGUCUUUUGUCCCCAUUAAUUUGGGUAAUCUGCUCCCUGGUGCGGGCUCUGUAAUAUCGGCCCGCAGGGUUUCUUUUUCCAUGCAGGGUUUCUUUUUCCAUUCUGGUCUUACCAUAAUUUAUCGAUGGCAGACUGAGAGCUUGACAGCGCGCACUCAUGUGCAUUACCACAAGGAGUUCCUUGUGAUUAACUGCAGGUCCAGUUUGACCGAAAGAGACUUCGAUUUGCCAGAGCAGGGGCUCAUCUCAUACAAGAGCAGGCUAGCGUAGUGGUCUUGGGUUGUUUGGGCUAGAAUCAUUCGUUUGCUUUGUGAACCUUCAGGUUAUUGGCUAAGUAAAGAAGUAGAUCGCAGGUCAAACGUAUUACGCCGCCUGUGGUCUUUCGGGCGCUUUUGCGCUUUAUGGGAUAGCAAAAAAGCAAGUUGAAAGCCUAAAAGACAUACCCUGGGAUCUUGCUUGUUUUUUUUCCAACUACGUUUCUAGAGCAUGCUGUGGUUCCCACCCGUUUACACGGUGGUUGGGUAAGCUCUAUGCCUGGCACGCGGAAUAGGGUCUCGCGUGGUUUGCUAUAUGGCAGCUAGCGCAAAACUGCGAAUAAUUUCCAUAUGGUUAAACAAUGACUGUAGGCGACGCGAACGGUCGCCCUAAAUUCCACUGCAAUAGUCCCACGAAUUCGAAAAGUUAUAACCAGAAUGGCCAGCCCAAUAGCGGAUUCCGCUGCUGCCACCGUUAAAACAAAUAAAGCAAAUAAUUGACCCAUCAUAUCAUCCAAAUAAACCGAAAAUACCAAAAAGUUUAAAUCGACUGCAAGUAACAUUAACUCAAUUGACAUUAACAUAAUAAGGAUGUUUUUUCUAUUCAAGAAAAUCCCCCAAAUACCUAAAAGAAAAAGAAUCAUAGAAAAUGUUAAAUAUUUUACUAGAUCCAUAAUAAGAGUCUCUUUUUUGAAAGCCAACCCGGUUUCAAGCCAAGUACAUGCCGCUUCCUUAGCCAAUAAGUACUGCUUUGCCCUUUUUUUAUGGCAAGGGCGAUAUGAACCAGAACAAGCACAUAGAGGACAAUGAAAAAAACCAUCAUUAGUAUUUAAUUACUUACUAACUCCAUUUAUGACACGGCCUCUACUAGCACCAGAAAAAAAGUAUAUAUAUAUAUUUUUUUUGCUGCGCUUUCCGCGCUUAUUUUUGCUUUAUAGCACUAUCUGAAUCUUCAGAUGAUUAUAAAGUUUUUUAAAAAACAAAAAACAAAAAAACAUAUUUGAUAAUUAUUAAACAAAAUACUCUGAAAAGAAUCAAGAUCCAAUUUCGUGUUAUUUCAUGGUGAACAUAAUCUGUCAGAAUUUCUUCGAUUCCCACAUGAAUAUGCCAGAAUAACAAAAUAUUUAACAGAAUCAAAGUGGAAACAUUUGAUAUAAGAAUGGUUGGAAUUAGAGAAGCGGCAGUCAUUCUUUGAAGAAGCCAAUGCCCCAAGGUUUCUCUAUGAGCUUUCAUUGCUUUUCACCUUUUUUUUGAAAGUAAAAGGAAACCGGCCUUUUUGGUCCGGCCCCUUCUUAUAGAAGCGUAUGUGAUAAUUGUCCGUCAUACGGCUCCGCCUAUCUAGAAAGUAUCCUGUCGGCCGAAAUAGUACUGGAACAGGUUGUAGUCUCGUCUUAGUUAAGCCUUCGCGAGAUAAAGUAGGCCCGAUUCCGGGGCACCGCUGAGCUAUCAGGGAAAAAAAGGUAUAUAUAUACUUUUCGGGGUUAUCGUAUUUCGUGCUUAUGAGAAAUAGAAUCGGAUAAUAUUCGAUACAGCUAAAAAAGCUGCACAGAAUAACAUAAUAAUUCCGGAAGUAUAUACUUUGGAUAAUUCUAGAAAAAAACCUAGAUCCCACAAUAAAUGACGAAUUCCAUUACUCAUAUGAUAACAUAAGGCCAAUAAACUGAAAUUGACUACGCUUGAAAUCAACCAAUGGAAAUAGAAAGUGAAGGAAAAAGCGUAUCGGUAAAGAUAAUAAGAAGUAAGGUUAAGAUCGCCUAUUUUCAGAAAAAGAAUACUAAAAAAAACCAUACUGGAUAGAGUCAAACUUCGGUAGGAAGUGAUGACCUACGGCCUGCCUACUAAGUGCUCUCCGAACCGUACGUGAUAGUCUCCCAUCAUACGGCUCACUAACUCUCCUGAUCCAACUCAUAGGAGACGGGCUCCAUUGACUGCGGCUCGUUGGGUGCCUGCCCUACUGAUCGGAUUAUCGAUGGCACUGGAUGUAUCAUCAUAUAUAAUGUAUUAACAUCUUGAUGUUAAUAGGGCGCGACAAAAAAUAGAUAGAUAUAUUUGCCGUUUCUUUUUUGAGUUUUGGAGAGUAAAACCUGCCAGACUAGGCAGGUGCAUAGACCCCUUCGCCUUUUACUCAAUCCGCAAGUUUGCCGUUUACACGGUUCUUUUAGGAUUAGGCAGGUACUAUGGGUCCUCUGACUUCCAACUCGGACCAUAGUGUACGGUUGGAUCUCGCCGAUAUCACCUGUGAGCUAUAGCGCUUGAGAUGUCGUUUAGUUCUCUGUCCCCAUUAAUUUGGGUAAUCUGCUUCCAUGCGUAAAAAUAUAUCUAUUUUUUUUGUCCUUACCGUUCUUAGCCGCCAGCAGGCCGAAAGCAUAACAGUGUUCGUUCGUGCGAUUCCCCGCGUGCAUUUUUUCCGCACUGGUUGUAGGGCAGGCUGACCCGAAAAGAACUGCGAUUCUGCUUUAUCAUCUCAUGCUAAAUGAAAUAUAUAUAUAUUUCAUAUAAAUAUAUAUAUUUCAUUUAGCAAGCGCCAGCGGACUCGCGGAGGAUUGAUUAUUGAGCAGGCCGAUAAACUAGCCAACAGCCGACGAAUAUCUCCUUUAUCGCAGCUUCUGUGGCAUGCUUCCUUUCCUUCGCUAUCAGGUAAGCCCUGAGCCCCUCGAGCAGUAGUGCCUUUGUUGUAAUCACAAGUGAUCUAACGGCCGCCCCUAAGAAAGCCCCAGAAAUUCUAUGGAAAAUAGAAAAAGUAGAAGUAAGCUGUGGCUUAUAAAUGGUAAGAUGAGGUGAUAACGGUCGAUUGAUUUUCAUGUUUUUAGUUGACUUUGAUUUUGACUCAAGGUGACAGGAUUUGAACCUAUGACCCUCUGUACCCAAAACAGAUGCGCUACCAGACUGCGCUACACCUUGGCUGAUGUUCCCCAAUGAAUAUUUGAUAAAUGCUUAGACUUUGAGCAACAUACAAAAAAAACUAAGACUAAUAAAAAAACUAUAUUUUUAACGCCACUGAAAAAAAAGCACUACCGUCUCGUUCAGUUUCUUUUUUGCUUGAAACUAUUUUUUUGGUGGACGUUUAUGAUUGUUUCAGCCUUUUAAUGUUCGCUCGAGGCCAGAAGGGCCAGUCGAUCAUUAUCCGCUUUAUUUAUAAAGCUUUCUUUAUAAUGCAAUUACAUGUAAUUGCAUUAUAAAGCCAAGUCUUCAACAUAAUAUAUUAUUAAUCUUUUGUUAUGUUAUUAAUUAAGUAAUUCCAUGAGGAAUAGCCAUGAAUAAUCAUAGAUAAAUAAAAGGGGUCGGAUCUAAGCGCGAUUAAUCUUGCAGCCCAAAAAUAUCAUUAUUAUCAAGACUGAAAAGAAUAAAAGCCACACAAAACCGAAAUGAGGCUUUCCUAGGUAAUAGCUCCGGCUCACUAUAAACAACUAGCAAUGUCGGCAGAGCCUUAAAACAAAAAAAAGAAAUUUAGGAAUUCAGAUCAAUAGCAACAAGGCAAAAAAAUCCGCGGGGCUACCCCGCGGCGAAGACCGUGGUAUUCCAUAGAAUAUAGCAUACUUACAAUCUGCAAUCACUACGUAAUUCCAUAAUGCGAAAGAAGCAUAGCAAGUUUAUUGGACCAAAGGUUCUACAUAGUGAAUGCAUUUUGGUCUAUGGAUAGUAAACCUUAGUAUGAUGAUGAUUUAGUUCGUGAUACGCAGAGGUUUUCUAUUGGAAGUUUGGUAGGUUCAAAACCUACUUCUGUGUAAAAAAUCAUACUCAAAAAAAAGAGUUUGAUCCUGGCUCAGAAUGAACGCUAGCGAUAUGCUUAACACAUGCAAGUUGAACGUUGUUUUCGAAUCAAAAUGAAAACAAAGUGGCGAACGGGUGCGUAACACGUAGGAAUCUGCCAAACAGUUUGGGCCAAAUCCUGAAUGAAUAAAAGCUAAAAAGCGCUGUUUGAUGAGCCCACGUAGUAUUAGGUAGUUGGUUAGGUAAAAGCUGACCAAGCCUACGAUGCUUAGCUGGUCUUUUCGGAUGAUCAGCCACACUGGGACUGAGACACGGCCCAGACUCCUACGGGAGGCAGCAGUGGGGAAUCUUGGACAAUGGGCGAAAGCCUGAUCCGGCAAUAUGGCGUGAGUGAAGAAGGGCAACGCAGCUUGUAAAGCUCUUUCAUCGAGUGUGCGAUUGUGACAAGACUCGAAUAAGAAGCCCCGGCUAACUCCGUGCCAGCAGCCGCGGUAAGACGGGGGGGGCUAGUGUUAUUCGGAAUGACUAGGCGUAAAGGGCACGUAGGCGGUGAAUCCGGUUGAAAGUGAAAGUCGCCAGCUCAACUGGCGGAAUGCUUUCAAAACCAAUUCACUUGAGUAAGAUAGAGGAUAGUGGAAUUUCGUGUGUAGAGAUAAAAUUCACAGAUAUACGAAGGAACACCAAAAGCGAAGGCAGCUUUCUGGGUCUCUACUGACGCUGAGGUGCGAAAGCAUAGGGAGCAAACAGGAUUAGAUACCCUGGUAGUCUAUGCCGUAAACGAUGAGUGUUCGUCCUUGGUCUGCGCUGUAUGCAAAACGGCUGAUCAGGGGCCCAGCUAACGCGUUAAACACUCCGCCUGGGGAGUACGGCCGCAAGGCUGAAACUCAAAGGAAUUGACGGGGGCCUGCACAAGCGGUGGAGCAUGUGGUUUAAUUCGAUACAACGCGCAAAACCUUACCAGCCCUUGACAUAUGAAUAAGUUUGCUUGUCCUUAAUGGGACGGUACGAAAAUUUAUACAGGUGCUGCAUGGCUGUCGUCAGCUCGUGUCGUGAGAUGUUGGGUUAAGUCCUAUAACGAGCGCAACCCUCGUUUUGUGUUGCUAAGACAUGCGUUUUGGGGUCUUUGUAAAAUUGACAAUCCAUGCCAUGUACUGCACUCACAAGAAACUGCCAGUGAUAUACUGGAGGAAGGUGGGGAUGACGUCAAGUCCGCAUGGCCCUUAUGGGCUGGGCUACACACGUGCUACAAUGGCAAUUACAAUAGGAAGCAAGGCUUUAAGGCGGAGCGAAUCCGGAAAGAUAGCCUCAGUUCGGAUUGUUCUCUGCAACUCGAGAACAUGAAGUUGGAAUCGCUAGUAAUCGCGGAUCAGCAUGCCGCGGUGAAUAUGUACUCAGGCCCUGUACACACCGCCCGUCACACCAUGGGAAUUGGCUUCGCCCGAAGCAUCAAACCAAGGAUCACCCAUUAUUUCAGUGUUCUACGCCGUUGUUGAGUGUGGCCUACUAGAGUAAUUGGUGGUCUAAUGUGGGAUACCAAGGUGGGGCCUUUGACUGAGGUGAAGUCGUAACAAGGUAGCCGUAGGGGAACCUGUGGCUGGAUUGACUCCUUUUUUUAAACAAAAAAAAUAAUGGUUUUUCACCAUAUCUAUAGCCAAAAAAUAUACAUCUAUAUAUUUUCUGUCGUUUGGUUAUGUUUGAUAUUAACAUGAAUAAGCAAAAAAAAAGUAUUUCCUUUUGUAGAUACGCAUGGUUACAUAGCCCGAAGGUAAAGUGGCCAGCAUAAUGCAAUAUUAACCUUUAAUUUAAAGGCUUGAUUGAAGUUUUGGUCUAUGUCAGUGAGAGCCGUGGUGCCCCGCAGCCUUUCUAAUUACGCCUGUGAAUGCCCUGACUAUUACAUAAUAAUGGCUUCAGUCGCGAUUAUGAAUAUCACGAAGGCGCAGGACGCUCCAAUAAUCUAUUCCGUUUGAACUUUCUACAUAAACUGUUAUUUCUAUAAUUAAGUCCCCUAUCGGGACCAGGUUAAAGAAAGGCAAAUUAUCAUCCAACAACCAGGAAGCGGCAGAUUUGUAGAACAGCGGAUUAAUAAUUUGCAUGUCGGAAUAGUUUAGUCGGUUAGAACAGCGGGAUCAUAAUUCGCACACGGGGGUUCAAAUCCCUCUUCCGAUAGCAACUUUCGGAUAGGAAUUGAACCUACGGGAGGCAAAAAAAAGAUAUAUAUAUCUUUUUUUGCUGGUCACUAACCUUAUCCUAAAUCUCCUUCUUCUAUGAUAGGCCACGGUAAAGAAAGAUUUACGAUGUCUCUUAGGAUAACUAUAAAUGCAACAUAAUGAAUGUUGUUUUGACAAAACGAUCAAUCAUAUAAAGUACACCUUUAGGUUUAAUUAUAGAUCUUGUUCACGAACUAAGUGGCUAUACUCUUAUGUUAUAUCAACAAAGUCGAAUUAGCCGUUAUGCUAGUAGCUUAUGAAUGAAUCAUCAUAGAUAAUUCAUUGUUGUAGCUCCGCAAAUGGGAGCGCGAAUGUACAUUGCUCCGGCUUGUUGCAAGAUAAAUUUAAGUAGGUCUACAUGGCUUGCUUUCGAUCGCCCUAUUCAUACGUAAGAGAUCAAAAUAAAGUCAAGUUAGAGAGCCCUGUGAUCGGCGAUUCUCGCCGGAGAGCACUUGUGUAGUCUACCUCAUUGAAGGCAGGAAACCCACGACUGAGCAAGUUCACUUUUUACUCUAUUCAUUAAUCGCUACGCGCUUCCGGGCACUAUGGUAAGACGUGAAAACACCCGAUCCCAUUCCGACCUCGAAAUGUGAAAUCGUCUUACGCUAUAUGUACUGAUUUAUCAAUUUCGGGAGACAUGGUCCAGGCCCGGACAACGUCCAAUUUAAAUUAUUCUGAAACGCUAUUAAAAGUGAUGAACAAUCGAUCGCGAGGCCGAAGGUCCCGGAGGACUAAUCUCAUAAAAUAUGGCUGUGCAACACUUGGCGCCUACGAAUGAAUCAUCAUAGAGACUCGCAAUAAAAAAAUUCCAUAUUUCUAAUAAAAAACUAUACUUGGGGCAGGCGGGGAACUGCUGCGCAAAAAGAAAUAUUUUGCGGCGCCGCUGAAGAAAACCUUAUUAUGUGCGCGGGAUAGAGUAAUUGGUAACUCGUCAGGCUCAUAAUCUGAAUGUUGUAGGUUCGAAUCUUACUCCCGCCAAAUAUUCUAAGUGGUUUUUGUGGAAUUGCGGGAUUUAUACAAAAAGGAGCAGUGCAUCCAUAACUUGGUUAUGUCUGCGCGUUCUUGAUUUAUUUCUCGGUUAUAAAAAAAAGUAUUAAAAUAAAUAAAUGGUGUGAUAAGGCGAAUACUCAUUCUAUUGGGUCUAGGUGAAAGGAACCCUGUAUUCUGCUUGUAAUGCGAAUGAUGCGAUAUGUAAAUAGAAGAUACGUAUUAUUCUAUUGAUGAUCUGGAAUAGUCAUUUAUGGGAUAAUUAAGGGGUGAAUCGAUCCAGUUAUUUUAGUGACCUGGAUUUUCUGAAGUCUCAUUGGCGAAUAUUUGGGUAGUGACUAGUGAAGUAGGUGCAAUUCCUACUGUAUCCAAAAUAAUGCAUCGGAUGAAUGCCUAGGCAUUGAGAAGGAAGGACGCUUUCAAGGGCGAAACGCCAUGGGGAGAUACCGUCUGUGAUCCAUGGAUCUCCAAUCGGGAAACCGUAUCCAAGCGGGGCGGCGCAUUAUGAUGCUGCGCUCUGUCUUGGACUUUUAAAACUUAGCGAACUGAAACAUCUAAGUAGCUAAAGGAAAGGAAAUCAACCGAGACUCCGUUAGUAGCGGCGAGCGAAAGCGGAUUAGGCUUUGUGAGAAGGCCGCAGUAGAAAGCGCAUUGCGCUUUCUUCUACUGCGGCCUUCUCUCUUCAUUCAAUUUCAAACAAAUUGAAUGAUGGAAAAACCAUUCAAGGAAUUGUGAAAAGAUUGGAAAAUCUUGCCAAAGAAGGUGAUAGCCCUGUAGAUUUUUUCCUAUGGUUCGACUCAAUAAGUAAAACGCGGAUACCGUGUUUGAAUUAUGAUCGCUCUUAUGUGACCAAGGGGGA